CUUCUUUUUGCAGGAUAUAGAAGACUUAGAUCACUAUGAGAUGAAAGAAGAGCCUACUAGUGAGAAGAAGUUGGAAGAUGAAGGAACUGAAAAAGAAAAUUGGGCAAUAUUAGAGAAAAUUAGGAAGACUGAAAGGCAAGGCCAUUUAAAUGUGCUGCAGUGUCUGGGUCAGUGCAAGCUUCAGAUAGACUUAAGAAAGAUUUCAGGGACUUAUACAGAUCACAGAGUUAUAAGACAGGUUGACCCUGAUAGUCCUUUACACAGUGAUCUUCAGAUCUUAAAAGAAGAAGAAGAGAUAGGAGACAUUUUGCUUAUGUUUUAAGUGUUCCUGACAACAUCUCAGAGGAUGGUGUCUUCUGGCUUACUCUGGGAAAUGCUGCUCUGUGAGAAAUCUGAAGUUCUGAGUGAUCCCCAUGCAUUUUCUGCUGCAGAGCAGGACAUACUGAAGUGAUUCCUUCAUGAGCAGAUGUCAGAGGUCUCCCUUUGUCAGCUUGUUACAAAGUUGAUCACAAAUAUACUAUUACGGGGAGUGGAAGUCCCAGGUUGGGUGUGAAGCAGAGUUGUUUAGAAUUGUGUACUAUUUUGUUAACUUUAAAUCUUCUCUAGGCUGUUUUGGUUUUGGCAGUAAAAUUGCUAUAAAAAGUACUUCUCUUGGCAUACAACCUAAUGGUCAAUUUUGGAAGUUCAGUGUUAGGUAACCCAGCCAAAUACUUAUGUAUACAAAAUAAACAGAAGACUGAAAAAUAGUAAAUGUUUAAACUUUGUGUCUCUUGCUCACUACAGCGGCCUAUAACUAGCCACCAAGCCAUAGUUCUUUUGUUUGUCAUAGUUGAAUUUCAAAAUGUCUUUGUAAUGAAGCCCUUCCUGAUUGGGGAGAAAGGACAUAAGUAUUGUGCUUUAGUUUUAUGUGCUGGUUUAUAAAAUUGUGUAUGUUGACUCAAUAUCCCCAUAAGCAUAGGGAAAGGAAAACAGGUCAUUUUUUGUUCAGAAUCUUAUUUGAGAAAAAAAAAAUGAUCAAAGAAAAGAUUUGCAUAAAAAUCUGCAAAUUCAGGAUAAAUGUAUGAAAACAUUUUAAAAUGUGAUUAUAAAAUAGACCAGUAUAGCUUUUCAACAUUUGGUUGUAAGAAUCCCAAGAAUGUAAGUUUAUGAUCUUAGUAUACCACCUAGAAUCGAGACGAAUACAUGAGGUUAUGAAUCAUGCCAUUUUCA
rnacentral:lncRNA from 1 species